AGUGAACGCUGGCGGUAGGCCUAACACAUGCAAGUCGAACGGCAGCACAGUAAGAGCUUGCUCUUACGGGUGGCGAGUGGCGGACGGGUGAGGAAUACAUCGGAAUCUACUUUUUCGUGGGGGAUAACGUAGGGAAACUUACGCUAAUACCGCAUACGACCUACGGGUGAAAGCAGGGGAUCUUCGGACCUUGCGCGAUUGAAUGAGCCGAUGUCGGAUUAGCUAGUUGGCGGGGUAAAGGCCCACCAAGGCGAAGAUCCGUAGCUGGUCCGGGAGGAUGAUCAGCCACACUGGAACUGAGACACGGUCCAGACGCCUACGGGAGGCAGCAGUGGGGAAUAUUGGACAAUGGGCGCAAGCCUGAUCCAGCCAUACCGCGUGGGUGAAGAAGGCCUUCGGGUUGUAAAGCCCUUUUGUUGGGAAAGAAAAGCAGCAGGUUAAGACCCCGCUGUUCUGACGGGACCCAAAGAAGAAGCACCGGCUAACUUCGU
rnacentral:rRNA from 1 species